UGCAGCUACAUGCUCUGCUGCCUGUGUGUGAACUGAUAACAGAUGCACGGUGACCAGUCACCCACGGACUCCGAAGGAAGUGUCAAGAUUGGUCCCUGGUCAUGACGCAUGUCUGUAAUUUAUGUAGUGACCUGUGGCCUGGGAGCAGCAGCAGAGUUGUACUUGAUGAAUUAUGUACAGUUAAGAUCUGGGCAAAUGCUAAACUCCAAGAGUGCAAGUUCUCAGGGGCCACCAGCCAGACAGCCAGCACCAGGCCCUGAAGCAAUGUCAGCGGGGUGCAGGUUGCAGAGGGGUGCACUAUAAUGCCAUGGAAGUAUCAAACAAUUCAUCUACCACUGACACCAUUAUGGGCUGCCCACAGUGGACGCCAAGUUUUCUCACUGCUCUGCUAAGAAGGACCUGUGAACCCCAGAGGGACUUUGUUUCUGUUUAAAAUGUCAACAACAGCUUAUGCUCGGGAUUAAAACGCUCACUGAGGAAAAAUAGGUUUUUUUAAAUGUGGAAGAUCAAGAUAAUUUACUGGUUUCUGGGAUUGGAUGUGCCUGUGUCUUUGUGGCAUGCAUAAGCAUCAUUAGAUAGUCACUUAGGAGGUGGGAUACUUGCAUUCAUUUUGUCACAUGCAAAUUCAAUAAAACAAGAAUUUAUUGCAUCUUUACUCUGUGCUGAUCUCUCUUUGCAAAGUCUACAGAGACAGAGAGGAGCAAGAAAUAUUCCUGCCUUCAAGGAGUUCAAAGUUUGAAGUGCCUGCUUUCAAAGGACACACACAUACUAGUAUACAUGCACACACAUAAUGUAACUGGAAUACAAAAUACAAUGAUGGCUG